rnacentral:rRNA from 1 species
GAUCCUGGCUCAGGAUGAACGCUAGCUACAGGCUUAACACAUGCAAGUCACGGGGCAGCAUAGGGUUUCAGCAAUGAAAUUCGGAUGGCGACCGGCGCACGGGUGAGUAACACGUAUCCAACCUGCCCUUUACUCGGGGAUAGCCUUGCGAAAGUAAGAUUAAUACCCGAUGGCAUUGGAUUCCCGCAUGGGGCUUCAAUUAAAGGUGCAAACUGGUAAAGGAUGGGGAUGCGUUCCAUUAGG